rnacentral:rRNA from 1 species
AGAAGAAGUCCUGGCUAACUCCGUGCCAGCAGCCGCGGUAAUACGGAGAGGGCUAGCGUUAUUCGGAAUUAUUGGGCGUAAAGGGCGCGUAGGCGGAUUAGUAAGUUAAAAGUGAAAUCCCAAGGCUCAACCUUGGAAUUGCUUUUAAAACUGCUAAUCUAGAGAUUGAAAGAGGAUAGAGGAAUUCCUAGUGUAGAGGUGAAAUUCGUAAAUAUUAGGAGGAACACCAGUGGCGAAGGCGUCUAUCUGGUUCAAAUCUGACGCUGAGGCGCGAAGGCGUGGGGAGCAAACAGGAUUAGAUACCCUGGUAGUCCACGCUGUAAACGAUGAAUGUUAAAUAUGGGAAGUUUUACUUUCUGUAUUACAGCUAACGCGUUAAACAUUCCGCCUGGGGACUACGGUCGCAAGAUUAAAACUCAAAGGAAUUGACGGGGACCCGCACAAGCGGUGGAGCAUGUGGUUUAAUUCGAUGCAACGCGAAAAACCUUACCACUCCUUGACAUGGAAAUUAUACCUAUUCGAAGGGAUAGGGUCGGUUCGGCCGGGUUUCACACAGGUGUUGCAUGGCUGUCGUCAGCUCGUGUCGUGAGAUGUUGGGUUAAGUCCCGCAACGAGCGCAACCCUCAUCCUUAGUUACCAUCAGGUAAUGCUGGGGACUUUAAGGAAACUGCCAGUGAUAAACUGGAGGAAGGUGGGGAUGAUGUCAAGUCAUCAUGGCCCUUAUGGAGUGGGCUACACACGUGCUACAAUGGUGGCUACAAUGGGCUGCAAAGUCGCAAGGCUAAGCCAAUCCCUUAAAAGCCAUCUCAGUUCGGAUUGUACUCUGCAACUCGAGUGCAUGAAGUUGGAAUCGCUAGUAAUCGUGGAUCAGCACGCCACGGUGAAUACGUUCUCGGGUCUUGUACACACUGCCCGUCACGCCAUGGGAAUUGGUUUCACUCGAAGCUAACGACCUAACCGCAAGGAGGGA